rnacentral:tRNA from 1 species
GCCUAGAUAGCUCAAAUGGUAGAGCUUUUGACUUUUAAUCUGAGGCUCCAGGGUUCAACUCCUUGUUAAGGUG